rnacentral:rRNA from 1 species
GAUGAACGCUGACAGAAUGCUUAACACAUGCAAGUCCACUUGAACUUCGGUUUGGGCGGCGGACGGGUGAGUAACGCGUAAAGAACUUGCCUCACAGAUAGGGACAACAUUUGGAAACGAAUGCUAAUACCUGAUAUUAUGAUUAUAUGGCAUCGUAUAAUUAUGAAAGCUAUAUGCGCUGUGAGAGAGCUUUGCGUCCCAUUAGCUAGUUGGAGAGGUAACGGCUCACCAAGGCGAUGAUGGGUAGCCGGCCUGAGAGGGUGAUCGGCCACAAGGGGACUGAGACACGGCCCUUACUCCUACGGGAGGCAGCAGUGGGGAAUAUUGGACAAUGGACCAAGAGUCUGAUCCAGCAAUUCUGUGUGCACGAUGAAGUUUUUCGGAAUGUAAAGUGCUUUCAGUUGGGAAGAAAAAAAUGACGGUACCAACAGAAGAAGUGACGGCUAAAUACGUG